CUCUUAGUGCAAGGUUGCUUCUUAGAGAGUAUUGUGUUGUUAGAGCAGCUCUGUCAACAGUUGGGCGCUUUAUCAUCUUUGAUACUGGGGAGCAAAGCUGUUAAAGCUCCUGCCACAAGUAGUAAGAUGAUGAU